rnacentral:rRNA from 1 species
GGAUUAGAUACCCUGGUAGUCCACGCCGUAAACGAUGUCUACUAGCCGUUGGGAGACUUGAUCUCUUAGUGGCGCAGUUAACGCGAUAAGUAGACCGCCUGGGGAGUACGGCCGCAAGGUUAAAACUCAAAUGAAUUGACGGGGGCCCGCACAAGCGGUGGAGCAUGUGGUUUAAUUCGACGCAACGCGAAGAACCUUACCAGGUCUUGACAUCCUGCGAACUUUCUAGAGAUAGAUUGGUGCCUUCGGGAACGCAGUGACAGGUGCUGCAUGGCUGUCGUCAGCUCGUGCCG